UGUCUGAAUGGGGAAACCCGGCCCGCAAGGGUCACUCCAGGCUGAAUAUAUAGGCCUGGUAGAGCGAACCUGCCGAACUGAAACAUCUAAGUAGGCAGAGGAAAAGAAAUCAACCGAGAUUCCGAAAGUAGUGGCGAGCGAAAUCGGAACAGCCUGCAACUUUUAGCAGUUUAUCUAGCGGAACGGUCUGGAAAGUCCGGCCAUAGUGGGUGAUAGCCCCGUAUGCGAAAGAUAGAUUGUGGAACUAAGGUUGCGACAAGUAGGGCGGGACACGUGAAAUCCUGUCUGAAUAUGGGGGGACCAUCCUCCAAGGCUAAAUACUCGUGAUCGACCGAUAGUGAACCAGUACCGUGAGGGAAAGGCGAAAAGAACCCCGGGAGGGGAGUGAAAUAGAUCCUGAAACCGCAUGCAUACAAACAGUGGGAGCCUCGCAAGGGGUGACCGCGUACCUUUUGUAUAAUGGGUCAGCGACUUACAUUCAGUGGCAAGCUUAACCUUUUUAGGGAAAGCGUAGCGAAAGCGAGUCUUAAUAGGGCGAUCAGUCGCUGGGUGUAGACCCGAAACCAAGUGAUCUACUCGUGGCCAGGAUGAAGGUAGGGUAACACCUGCUGGAGGUCCGAACCCACUACCGUUGAAAAGGUAGGGGAUGAGCUGUGGGUAGGGGUGAAAGGCUAAACAAACUUGGAGAUAGCUGGUUCUCUCCGAAAGCUAUUUAUGUAGCGCCUCGUGAUAUACCUUCGGGGGUAGAGCACUGUUAUGACUAGGGGGCCGUAUAGGUCUACCAAAUCAUUGCAAACUCCGAAUACCGAAGAGUAGUUUCACGGGAGACAGACAUCGGGUGCUAACGUCCGGUGUCAAGAGGGAAAGAACCCAGACCGCCGUCUAAGGUCCCAAAGACAUAGUUAAGUGGUGAACGAAGUGGGAAGGCAUAAACAGCCAGGAGGUUGGCUUAGAAGCAGCCACCCUUUAAAGAAAGCGUAAUAGCUCACUGGUCGAGUCGUCCUGCGCGGAAGAUGUAACGGGGCUCAAACUAUGCACCGAAGAUGCGGAUUCAUACGCAAGUAUGAGUGGUAGGAGAGCGUUCUGUAGGCCUGCGAAGGUGACUCGUAAGGGUUGCUGGAGGUAUCAGAAGUGCGAAUGCUGACAUGAGUAGCGAUAAAGCGGGUGAAAGGCCCGCUCGCCGAAAGCCCAAGGUUUCCUGCACCACGUUCAUCGGUGCAGGGUGAGUCGGCCCCUAAGGCAAGGCCGAAAAGCGUAGUCGAUGGGAAAUCGGUUAAUAUUCCGAUACCUCGUUUUGAUGCGAUGGGGAGACGGAGAAGGUUAUGUCAGCCGGGUGUUGGAUGUCCCGGUUCAAGCGUGUAGGUGUGAUCCUUUAGGCAAGUCCGGCUACGGUCAACACCGAGGCGUGAUGACGAGUGACCUUGUGGCAUGAAGUUGCAGAUACCACGCUUCCAGGAAAAUCCUCUAAGCUUCAGUCAUAUAUGGACCGUACCGCAAACCGACACUGGUGGACAAGAUGAAAAUUCUAAGGCGCUUGAGAGAACUCGGGUGAAGGAACUCGGCAAAUUUGCACCUUAACUUCGAAGAAGGUGCGCCCCCGAUGAUGUGAAACCCUCGCGGGCGAAGCAAAAGGGGUGCAGUGAAAAUGGUGGCUGCGACUGUUUAAUAAAAACACAGCACCUGCAAACACUCAAGUGGACGUAUAGGGUGUGACGCCUGCCCGUGCGAAGUUAAGUGAUGGGGUGCAAGCUCUUGAUUGAAGUCCCGGUAAACGGCGCCGUAACUAUAACGUCUAGUAGCGAAAUUCCUUGUCGGGUAAGUUCGACCCGCACGAGUGGGGGAACGAUGGCCACACUGUCUCCUCCCGAGACUCAGCGAAGUUGAAGUGUUUGUGAUGAUGCAAUCUACCCGCGGCUAGACGGAAAGACCCCGUGCACCUUUACUGUAGCUUUACAUUGGACUUUGAUGAGAUCUGUGUAGGAUAGGUGGGAGACUUUGAAGCGGGUGCGCUAGUCACUCGUGGAGUCAACGUUGAAAUACCACCCUGAUGUUAUCGAGGUUCUAACCUAUGCCCCGUGAUCCGGGGCGGGGACCGUGUAUGGCAGGCAGUUUGACUGGGGCGGUCUCCUCCCAAAGAGUAACGGAGGAGCUCGAAGGUACGCUUAGCGCGGUCGGCUAUAGCGCUGUAUGUGCAAUGGCAUAAGCGUGCUUAACUGCGAGACUGACAAGUCGAGCAGGUGCGAAAGCAGGACAUAGUGAUCCGGUGGUUCUGUAUGGAAGGGCCAUCGCUCAACGGAUAAAAGGUACGCCGGGGAUAACAGGCUGAUUCCUCCCAAGAGUUCAUAUCGACGGGGGAGUUUGGCACCUCGAUGUCGGCUCAUCACAUCCUGGGGCUGUAGCCGGUCCCAAGGGUAUGGCUGUUCGCCAUUUAAAGUGGUACGUGAGCUGGGUUCAAAACGUCGUGAGACAGUUUGGUCCCUAUCUGCCGUGGGCGUUGGAAGUUUGAGGGGGGCUGCUCCUAGUACGAGAGGACUGGAGUGGACGCACCUCUGGUGUACCGGUUGUCACGCCAGUGGCAUUGCCGGGUAGCUAUGUGCGGAAGAGAUAACCGCUGAAAGCAUCUAAGCA
rnacentral:rRNA from 1 species